GAACUUUCCAGAGAUGGAUUGGUGCCUUCGGGAACUGUGAGACAGGUGCUGCAUGGCUGUCGUCAGCUCGUGUUGUGAAAUGUUGGGUUAAGUCCCGCAACGAGCGCAACCCUUAUCCUUUGUUGCCAGCGGUCCGGCCGGGAACUCAAAGGAGACUGCCAGUGAUAAACUGGAGGAAGGUGGGGAUGACGUCAAGUCAUCAUGGCCCUUACGACCAGGGCUACA
rnacentral:rRNA from 1 species